rnacentral:rRNA from 1 species
CCUACGGGAGGCUGCAGUGAGGAAUAUUGGUCAAUGGACGAGAGUCUGAACCAGCCAAGUAGCGUGAAGGAUGACUGCCCUAUGGGUUGUAAACUUCUUUUAUAUGGGAAUAAAAUGUUCCACGUGUGGGAUUUUGUAUGUACCAUAUGAAUAAGGAUCGGCUAACUCCGUGCCAGCAGCCGCGGUAAUACGGAGGAUCCGAGCGUUAUCCGGAUUUAUUGGGUUUAAAGGGAGCGUAGGUGGAUUGUUAAGUCAGUUGUGAAAGUUUGCGGCUCAACCGUAAAAUUGCAGUUGAAACUGGCAGUCGUGAGUACAGUAGAGGUGGGCGGAAUUCGUGGUGUAGCGGUGAAAUGCUUAGAUAGCACGAAGAACUCCGAUUGCGAAGGCAGCUCACUGGACUGCAACUGACACUGAGGCUCGAAAGUGUGGGUAUCAAACAGGAUUAGAUACCCCAGUAGUC